UGGGGAAUUUUGCGCAAUGGGGGAAACCCUGACGCAGCAACGCCGCGUGGAGGAUGAAGCCCCUUGGGGUGUAAACUCCUUUCGAUCGGGAAGAUAAUGACGGUACCGAUAUAAGAAGCCCCGGCUAACUUCGUGCCAGCAGCCGCGGUAAUACGAGGGGGGCAAGCGUUGUUCGGAAUUAUUGGGCGUAAAGGGUGCGUAGGCGGUUUGACAAGUCAUCUGUGAAAUCUAUGGGCUCAACCCAUAGUCUGCAGGCGAAACUGUCGGGCUUGAGUAUGGGAGAGGUGAGUGGAAUUUCCGGUGUAGCGGUGAAAUGCGUAGAUAUCGGAAGGAACACCUGUGGCGAAAGCGGCUCACUGGACCAUAACUGACGCUGAGGCACGAAAGCUAGGGGAGCAAACA
rnacentral:rRNA from 1 species